UACGGAGGGUGCAAGCGUUGUUCGGAUUUAUUGGGCGUAAAGCGUGUGUAGGCGGUCCGCUAAGUCGGGUGUGAAAGCCCUGGGCUCAACCCAGGAAGUGCACUCGAAACUGGCAGGCUAGAGUACUGGAGAGGUUGGUGGAAUUCUCGGUGUAGAGGUGAAAUUCGUAGAUAUCGAGAGGAACACCGGUGGCGAAGGCGGCCAACUGGACAGAUACUGACGCUGAGACACGAAAGCGUGGGGAGCAAACAGG
rnacentral:rRNA from 1 species